CGUCUGCAGCUUCGGCUCCACUCGAUUGGUGUGCUGCUGAGCUAAUUUUCGUCUCCCUCGUUCUCCGUGUUGUUGUUCACGGUGACGCGGCGGAGGUGUAGCCUGACGCGGUCUCUUACGUGUCGGCCUGAAUAAAAGUGGAGCUCCGGGGGCCCGGGAGUGACGGAGGGAGCCUGUACCGUUUUUGGGCAACUAAAUGACAAUGGAAUCGGGUGCAGAGACUCAGCAGGGCAGUGAAGCAGCUGUCUCUGAAACCGAAAACCAGCAAAUAGUACAAGCACAGCCACAGAUUGCAGCUCUGGCCCAGGUUUCCAUGGCAGCAGGAGCUCAUGCAACAUCGACCGCCCCUACAGUGACUCUUGUUCAGCUCCCAAAUGGACAGACUGUGCAAGUUCAUGGAGUCAUACAGGCAGCACAGCCCUCGGUUAUUCAGUCUCCCCAAGUCCAAACGGUACAGAUUUCCACAAUCGCAGAGAGUGAAGAUUCUCAAGAGUCUGUGGACAGUGUGACAGACUCACAAAAGCGUAGGGAAAUCCUCUCAAGGCGACCGUCAUACAGAAAAAUUUUAAAUGACCUUUCUUCUGAUGCUCCUGGUGUUCCUCGUAUUGAGGAAGAGAAAUCUGAAGAAGACUCAUCCACUCCGGCCAUAACCACAGUCACAGUGCCAACUCCAAUCUAUCAGACCAGCAGUGGACAAUAUAUUGCCAUUACACAGGGUGGUGCCAUUCAACUGGCAAAUAAUGGCACGGAUGGCGUGCAAGGCCUCCAGACACUUACAAUGACCAACGCUGCCGCAGCACAGACUGGAACUACAAUUUUACAGUAUGCACAAACGACAGACGGUCAACAGAUCCUUGUGCCCAGCAAUCAGGUGGUUGUGCAAGCGGCAUCAGGAGAUGUCCAAGCUUAUCAGAUACGUACUGCUCCCACCAGCACCAUUGCUCCUGGUGUUGUUAUGGCCUCUUCGCCCGCACUACCCACUCAACAGACUGCCGAAGAAGCAGCACGGAAAAGGGAAGUGCGCCUUAUGAAGAACAGGGAGGCAGCACGUGAAUGUCGCCGGAAGAAGAAAGAAUAUGUAAAAUGUCUGGAAAAUAGAGUGGCAGUACUGGAAAACCAGAACAAGACUCUGAUUGAGGAACUAAAAGCACUUAAAGACCUUUAUUGCCAUAAAUCUGAUUAACUACCAGGACAAUUUGCAGAUAUAUACUGUAUAUAGACUAGCCUGGCAUACAUGAACCGGGCAAAAGACGUGUUUUCUAAAUGUUGUUUUUUUAUGCUGCAGACUGCCUAUAUGAGAAAUAUUGGAUUAUUCGUACAUGUUACCUUUGGAUCAUGACAUAUAUGAGAUUUAAAAUAACAACCGCCAAAUCGACCCUUUUUUUAAGAACUCAUCUCAAAAUAGUGUUUCUUUUUCCUUCCACCUGAGAAUUUCCCUUCACAAGUGUGCAUCGUGUUGUUCAUAUGUAAAAGGACAAAUGACUUCUUGACUGAAUAGAACCUGCAAGUCUUGGGAAUUCUACUGCUACCUUUCACGGUUACCAAGUUGCCAUUGGAGUAAAAAGAAUUUUUUUUUUUUUUUUUUUUUUUUUUAUGGAGUCGGCGUACAAAAUUGGACAGCAGAGAAUUUUUUUGCCCUAGCACAAUUUGAGUUACAAACAAGCAGGCCAUUUAAAUUUACAUCCUGUGGACUGGCAUUCUGUGCAGAUGAUGUGAUUCUUUUCUACACCAGAGCCUACCAGCCUGGACUUCCACUGCAGCAUUCAUUCAUCCACUCACUGGAUGAGGCCGAUGACCAAGUCUGUCCUGUGCAGCUGCAGCGCAAAACAACAAUUGAUGGCCACUCCAUGUGGAACCGCAUUCUGCAGCCUAAACCUGAUGUCAACUGCUGGAAUUCCGAGCAAAGAGAAUGGCGACUGUCUGGCAGAAGUGAGUUGGCUUUCUUUCUAACCCGUUUCCAAUACAUGUCAGUGAUAGACGUCUGCUGUGAACCAAUAAUUCUACUGCAGGUUUUUAUAUCGUUGUUAAGAUGGUUUAUAUUCUUAUUGUUGAGGUUGCCAAACCAACAGAUAAAAUCAAAUGUAAUAAUGGAUUCAAUAAAGGACUUCUAAAAAGGUGUCAUCAUGGUUUUGUCCACUGUAAAACAGAUGAGUUUCCUAAGAAAGAAAAGUCGUGACUGCCCUUUUUUUUUUACAGAUUUGUGCCUUGUUAAGAUCAAAGUUUAGUUUGUUAUCAGUGAUUGUUCCCAGAUAUUUGUAUUCCUCUCCCAUCUUUACUGCCUUCCCUUUAAUUAAAGUUGAGACAGUGGAUGGUAGGGAGCACCUGAAAUCUAAAACCAUAUCUUUUGUCUUAGAAAUAUUAAGUUGUAAAUUAGAGUGAUCACACCAUUGUACAAAGCCAUUGCCAGUAGGUCCAUAUGGCCGUCUUCCUUAUCUCGUAGAAGACAUACACUGACAGAGUUGUCUGUAAAUUUCAGGAUGUGUCUAUCCUUGUGUGAACCCCUGCAGUCAUUUGUGUACUGGAUAAACGACAACCUUGCGGAGAGCCCACAGAUACAACUGUUAGGGUAUCAGAGGGACAGCCAUUGGCAUUCACUCUUUGUGUUCUGUUUGUUAAAAAGUCCACAAUCCACCCCACCAAGUUAAGGGUCCAAACUGAAUUGAUCCAACAUUUUCUCAACUAAAAUGGUGGGUCUGGAUUGUGUUAAAAGCUGAUGAAAAAAUCUACAAACCUCAAUCUUGCAUUGGUUUUUCCAAUUGGUCUUACAAUACAUUCAAGUGUUGCUGUGGCGUCCUGCACACCCCUCUUUGCUCGGUAUGGUCCAGAAGAACCUCAGUUUUGUCAAGUAGCUCUCCCUUAACUUCUCGUGGCAUGAAAUCCUUUGAAAAGUGAAUUAAUGUCUCUGCUCUAAAGUCACUUAAUGUAUUGGGGUGUGCAGUUUUUACCAUUGGAGUAACAGUUACCUGUUUGCAUUGGCUGGGCACUUGCUGUAAAUCGAGGGGCAUUUCAAGGGUGGAGUGGCCGACGGUGACGUAUUCCGUCUGGACCCAAGCUUCUUUUGAUAUUUCUUUGUUUAAGGACCUUACUCCUGUUUUAUUUGAAGACUUUGAAAAUGGGAGCUGCGCUACUGUAUAUAAAUAAAGUCAAAUGUAUUACUAUUUAGUCAAGUACUUGCCUUCCCAUGCAAUUGCCAUAGUUGUCCAGGCAUUUGGUCGACUUGACACUCCAAAGAAAUCGGUGUCAAGGAAGAUUCUGUACAUCACCAUCCUUUACAGCAGCGGGUCUCAAACUUUCGCAUUUCGCGCCCCCCCAUUUCUACCUGGAAUAAUUCUGUGCCCCCUGCAUAAUAUAAAAUAGAUGAGAAUAAC